UACGUAGGGGGCAAGCGUUGUCCGGAAUUAUUGGGCGUAAAGAGCUACGUAGGCGGCCUUCUAAGUCGAACGUGAAAUCCCCGGGCUCAACCCGGGAACUGCGUCCGAUACUGGAAGGCUUGAAUCCGGGAGAGGGAUGCGGAAUUCCAGGUGUAGCGGUGAAAUGCGUAGAUAUCUGGAGGAACACCGGUGGCGAAGGCGGCAUCCUGGACCGGCAUUGACGCUGAGGCGCGAAAGCCAGGGGAGCAAAGCGGG
rnacentral:rRNA from 1 species